rnacentral:misc_RNA from 1 species
AAUGCUUUUCAAACCAAAUAGACCUGAACUAUACUAAAAAAUUGGUGACUGAGAAUUUGACUUGUUUUCAUUAGAAUCGCUCUUAUUCUUAGUUUUGGCCUGUUUUCUCAUAAAUUCUGAAUCAUUUGGGCCUAGGCUAAUUUUCCCUUGAAUAUUGGGGCAUCUGUUGCACUAAUCAUGGAGGGAAUGUAAUUUUUUUUAAAUACCAAUAUUUUAACUGGAAAUAAUUGGCUAACUGAUUAUCUAUCCAAG